AAAAACUAAAAUAAACAUGCAAAUGCAAAAGCUUGAUCAAUUGACAGAUAAAGAUAUGGAUGAAUGGUUUUGCUGGGGUUUACGGUUUCAUUCUAAUCCACUCUCCUAUAUCUACAAUUCUUAUUCGAUUCAACUUUGUUAUCAAUGUUCAUGCAACUUUCUAAUUUACUCUAAACCCGAUGUCUCGGCGAAGAGAGCCUACUCCCAAUUACUCGUUUACUAUGUCUGGUCUCCCUAGUAAUUAGUCAUGCAUUUCAAUGUACAGAAGCUUAAAGCAAUUGACCGUCUUAUUCCUAUGUCUAGGUAAUAUUGCUAAUCAAGAGAAUUCCCCUCAUGUCUAGAUUUCCGUGUAUGUGUCAAUAUCGAC
rnacentral:lncRNA from 1 species